CAGAACACUCAUCAGAGUGGCUCAUGAGGUUGGAUUCAGCAACUCCUGUGAGAUCACAGGGGACCCGUGAAGUUGCCAUCCACGGGAGACAGGCUGCACAGAACUGACUGGAGCACAGAGCACAGAAGGCUGACCAGGGUAAAGUAGGUGGAGCAAACAGCAGAGCCUGCACCAGAAUCUCAGCUGUAAUCUUGCUGGCAGCCUUUCAGAGGGAGAAAAGGGAAACCUGCCUGAGCUCUGAGGUCAACAGAGGCUCCCGAGGACUGCAUCCACUUCAGGAAGGGAAAAAUCCAAAUAGUGUGAGCUCUCCGCUCACACAGACUGACCUGCAAAUACAACACAUGGACUGGUAUCUGGAAUCACCUUUAGGGGCCAGGCAGAGUGCGCUGUAUCUCCCAUUUCCACAGAUGCUUCAGUUUAACUUCUCAAAGUGAGGCUCUUUGCUCGGCUCCUGGGCUGCUAACACUGUGGACAUCUGAUAAGAACAGGGACAGAUGAAGGAGAAGAAUAAGAAGAGGAAGAAGAGGAAGAAGAGGAAGAAUAAGAAGAAGCAGAAGCAGAAGCAGAAGCAGAAGCAGAAGAAGAAGAAGAAGAAGAAGAAGAAGAAGAAGAAGAAGAGGAAGAAGAGAUGGGGAAUUCUGGGGAUUUUCCAUUGCUCGUGUCUAUUCCAUCCACAUGUGAGGGCUACAGAUGUUCUCCAGGGUAGGCGUGUGAUAUUUAGAUCAGUGAGUACAAGGGAGAUGCCAGAAAGAGGAAGGCUUGGCAUCUAGUGAAGCAUUCACUUCAAAUUUGGGGACUUUUAUCUACAAAUAUUCUAGAGGGCCCUUUCUGGUUAAAAAGCUGUCACCAACAUCAACACUGAAUAUUUUCCCUUUAUAUUUUAAAAUAAAAAUAAAUUGAGUUUGAAACGUGCAAAAGCAAAAAUUUUUGGAUACACUAGGAAUAGUGAGAUUACCCAAAAAAUAGGAUCCCAGUCCGUCACCAUUGGAGAUUGGACAUCCAUGCUCUGCAGGUCGAGUCUGAGCCUUGUACGCAGUAAUGAAAGCAUCUAUUCAUGCCUUGCACAGGAGCCAAGGAACCCUCCACAUGCAUGAUUUAUAAGAAUAUUUAACUUUAGGGAUUCGGAUAGAUUCAGUUGUAGUAGAUAAGGAACAGAUUUCACAUGCAGUAUCAGCCUGGGGAAGCUGAGGAUGCUGGAGUUUAUUACUAUAUGCAAAGGGCCAUACCACGGCCCUUUGUGCUAUUUUUCUGGAAGCAGCAUAGACAGUUGUCUGAGGCUUUGUAAGAGAAAGAGGCAGUUACUAGGAAUGGAUAAAACAGUCCAGCAAAUGAUCUAUAAAAAUUAUUUCCUGUCAAUCCACAAAACCAUUGAUUUCUUGACCAAAUUGAAAGCUAGCAAGAAGGAGCAAAGGGAUUGAGAAAAGUCAUCGCAAUGCACACAAGGGUGGAAUUAACAACUCCAGCCUGACCACAGGGGACCAGUGAGGUUGUCAGCCAAAUAGGAGAGCCUACACAGAAUCUCUGCUGGGAAACAGGGAUUUAGUGGGGCAAAUAGUGGUGACCUGCCUGAGUUCUCAGGUCAUCAAAGGCUCUCUCCAGCCUUGGUAGGUUUUACGUGUGUGUAUGUGUGUGUGUUUCUGUGUCUCCGUGUGUCUGUUUUUCGUCUAUAUUUUGGAGUUUUUUAUUGGUUGAAUGCCAAUGUUUGUAUAGUUGAUUGUAGUUCUACAU